AGAGUUUGAUCCUGGCUCAGGACGAACGCUGGCGGCGUGCCUAACACAUGCAAGUCGAACGAAGUAUAUUUUCGGAUAUGCUUAGUGGCGGACGGGUGAGUAACGCGUGAACAAUCUGCCCUGUACACAGGAAUAGCCUCGGGAAACUGGGAUUAAAACCGGAUGACACUUCUUAGUCGCAUGACAUAGAAGUCAAAUUGAUUUAGAGGCACAGGAUGAGUUCGCGUCUGAUUAGCUAGUUGGUGAGGUAAUGGCUCACCAAGGCGACGAUCAGUAGCCGGCCUGAGAGGGUGAACGGCCACACUGGAACUGAGACACGGUCCAGACUCCUACGGGAGGCAGCAGUGGGGAAUAUUGCACAAUGGAGGAAACUCUGAUGCAGCGACGCCGCGUGAGUGAAGAAGGUCUUCGGAUCGUAAAACUCUGUCCUUGGUGACGAAAAAAAUGACGGUAGCCAAGGAGGAAGCCCCGGCUAACUACGUGCCAGCAGCCGCGGUAAUACGUAGGGGGCGAGCGUUGUCCGGAUUUACUGGGCGUAAAGGGUGAGUAGGCGGUAAUAUGUGUCAGAUGUAAAAGGCUAUGGCUUAACCAUAGUUGGCAUUUGAAACUGUAUUACUUGAGUGCAGGAGAGGUAAGUGGAAUUCCUAGUGUAGCGGUGAAAUGCGUAGAUAUUAGGAGGAACACCAGUGGCGAAGGCGACUUACUGGACUGUAACUGACGCUGAGUCACGAAAGCGUGGGUAGCAAACAGGAUUAGAUACCCUGGUAGUCCACGCUGUAAACGAUGAGUGCUAGGUGUUGGGUAGCGAUAUUCAGUGCCGAAGUUAACACAAUAAGCACUCCGCCUGGGGAGUACGGUCGCAAGACUGAAACUCAAAGGAAUUGACGG
rnacentral:rRNA from 1 species